AGGUGAACCUGCGGAAGGAUCAUUACCUAGAGUUUGUAGACUUCGGUCUGCUACCUCUUACCCAUGUCUUUUGAGUACCUUCGUUUCCUCGGCGGGUCCGCCCGCCGAUUGGACAACAUUCAAACCCUUUGCAGUUGCAAUCAGCGUCUGAAAAAACAUAAUAGUUACAACUUUCAACAACGGAUCUCUUGGUUCUGG
rnacentral:misc_RNA from 1 species